UACGUAGGGUGCGAGCGUUAAUCGGAAUUACUGGGCGUAAAGGGCGCGUAGGCGGCCUUCUAAGUCGAACGUGAAAUCCCCGGGCUCAACCCGGGAACUGCGUCCGAUACUGGAAGGCUUGAAUCCGGGAGAGGGAUGUGGAAUUCCAGGUGUAGCGGUGAAAUGCGUAGAUAUCUGGAGGAACACCGGUGGCGAAGGCGACAUCCUGGACCGGUAUUGACGCUGAGGCGCGAAAGCCAGGGGAGCAAACAGG
rnacentral:rRNA from 1 species